AAACUGUAAGUAGACUGUGAUCACAACUACGCCAACAAGAACUGAUGGAAAAGGGAAGGAAACAUAUUAAAAUGCUAACAAAGGCUGCAUUACAGGAGUAGAACAAAGGAAAACAGCAAAUGCACAUCAGAAAUUGCAAAGCUGUUUUUGAGAAAACAAGAUUCCACCAACGUGAAGAGGUAUGAAGAAUAUAUGAAGAUGUAAUACUGACAGAGCAGCCAGCACACUAGCUCCAGCAUAUUGACCCGGCAAUGGCAGAGGAACAAGAAGAGCGUUGGAAUCACCAAGGCCUCUCAAGGUCUAUGUUUUUCUAGAUUCAGGAGCUGGCAUGCUGUGGCUUCUACAUCGUUCUGUUGGCCAAAGCAGGUCACAUGUUCAAGCUCAACGUCAAGGAGAAGGGAAGAAGCCCAGCUUAUCACAGCGGACAUGACAAAGGGGAUGAAUAGAAGAAAGGCAGCAGUGUGGAAUUUUCUGGCAACACCUGCAGUAAUGACCCUGGCUUUGAGAAUCCAUUAAUUCCUCUCCAUCAGCUUGGAUCGAGCACUUAGACAACUCUGGGCACCACGGUUUUGUGCACAACAGAGCCAUCUUCCUAUUGAAAUGUAAUGUAAAAAUCUGGGACAAUGUCAACAUGGGAAAUAGCAUUUAUUCUCUUUAUAGAUAAUGGAAAACUUGUAUUUGUUAAUCAGGUCACAUCUCCCUAAAAUAUUAUAACUUAACACUUAUAAAGAUCUUUCUAAUAAAUUAACACAGUUUCUCACUCCAAAAGGGUGAA